rnacentral:rRNA from 1 species
CAGUCGUACCGGCGGAUAAUCAGCCUUUCGGGUGCGAUUAUGUGGAUUGGUGAGGAGUUUAAUCACCCUCAUGUUUUACGUAUUCGUGCCUCUUGGGUGUACUUGCCCGU